GGUACGACGCUGGCGGCGUGCCUAAUACAUGCAAGUCGAACGAACUCUGGUAUUGAUUGGUGCUUGCAUCAUGAUUUACAUUUGAGUGAGUGGCGAACUGGUGAGUAACACGUGGGAAACCUGCCCAGAAGCGGGGGAUAACACCUGGAAACAGAUGCUAAUACCGCAUAACAACUUGGACCGCAUGGUCCGAGCUUGAAAGAUGGCUUCGGCUAUCACUUUUGGAUGGUCCCGCGGCGUAUUAGCUAGAUGGUGGGGUAACGGCUCACCAUGGCAAUGAUACGUAGCCGACCUGAGAGGGUAAUCGGCCACAUUGGGACUGAGACACGGCCCAAACUCCUACGGGAGGCAGCAGUAGGGAAUCUUCCACAAUGGACGAAAGUCUGAUGGAGCAACGCCGCGUGAGUGAAGAAGGGUUUCGGCUCGUAAAACUCUGUUGUUAAAGAAGAACAUAUCUGAGAGUAACUGUUCAGGUAUUGACGGUAUUUAACCAGAAAGCCACGGCUAACUACGUGCCAGCAGCCGCGGUAAUACGUAGGUGGCAAGCGUUGUCCGGAUUUAUUGGGCGUAAAGCGAGCGCAGGCGGUUUUUUAAGUCUGAUGUGAAAGCCUUCGGCUCAACCGAAGAAGUGCAUCGGAAACUGGGAAACUUGAGUGCAGAAGAGGACAGUGGAACUCCAUGUGUAGCGGUGAAAUGCGUAGAUAUAUGGAAGAACACCAGUGGCGAAGGCGGCUGUCUGGUCUGUAACUGACGCUGAGGCUCGAAAGUAUGGGUAGCAAACAGGAUUAGAUACCCUGGUAGUCCAUACCGUAAACGAUGAAUGCUAAGUGUUGGAGGGUUUCCGCCCUUCAGUGCUGCAGCUAACGCAUUAAGCAUUCCGCCUGGGGAGUACGGCCGCAAGGCUGAAACUCAAAGGAAUUGACGGGGGCCCGCACAAGCGGUGGAGCAUGUGGUUUAAUUCGAAGCUACGCGAAGAACCUUACCAGGUCUUGACAUACUAUGCAAAUCUAAGAGAUUAGACGUUCCCUUCGGGGACAUGGAUACAGGUGGUGCAUGGUUGUCGUCAGCUCGUGUCGUGAGAUGUUGGGUUAAGUCCCGCAACGAGCGCAACCCUUAUUAUCAGUUGCCAGCAUUAAGUUGGGCACUCUGGUGAGACUGCCGGUGACAAACCGGAGGAAGGUGGGGAUGACGUCAAAUCAUCAUGCCCCUUAUGACCUGGGCUACACACGUGCUACAAUGGAUGGUACAACGAGUUGCGAACUCGCGAGAGUAAGCUAAUCUCUUAAAGCCAUUCUCAGUUCGGAUUGUAGGCUGCAACUCGCCUACAUGAAGUCGGAAUCGCUAGUAAUCGCGGAUCAGCAUGCCGCGGUGAAUACGUUCCCGGGCCUUGUACACACCGCCCGUCACACCAUGAGAGUUUGUAACACCCAAAGUCGGUGGGGUAACCUUUUAGGAACCAGCCGCCUAAGGUGGGACAGAUGAUUAGGGUGAAGUCGUAACAAGGUAGCCGUAGUCCUGUGUUAAA
rnacentral:rRNA from 1 species